AUCCAGCUGACGAGUCCCAAAUAGGAUAAAGUGACACGCAUCCUGGAU
rfam:Schistosoma rodhaini strain Burundi genome assembly, scaffold: SROB_scaffold0004487